rnacentral:lncRNA from 1 species
GCAUGCAGGGGCCAUUGUGACAUAUAGCCAUGCCAAUUGCCUAGGUGAAGUUUGUCUCCUCUCUUGCCUAAGCCCUUUCUACAGCGGGGAUUUAGAUGUAUCACCGAAACAAGCCUCCAGGUGAUAUUUUGCCAUGUACCUGAGACCAUAUCAAAGACCUAAUAACAACUCUUGUACCUGGAGCCAGGACAUGUGCAGGAUGGUGACUCUCAUCCCUGAACCUUUCCAUAGGUGUUAUUGUGACAUAUACCUUUGCCCAACUCCUGAGUGAUUUAAUAAUCCUGCCUAGUUACAGCAUAUAGAUGACAUUUUGACAUAUACCUGGGCCAAGAACCUUGCUGAUUUGACCCUCCUCUCUUAGCAGCCUCCUCAGAAGGGAUCAUAACAUUUCUCUGGACCCAUUGUCUAGACUCUGCCAAAAGGGGAUUAUUACAUACUGCAGAGCCCAGCACCCAGGUUCUCUUUGAAUUCCAGCAUGAUGCAUCGAACCGUACCAUGACAUGGCUAGGACCCAACCUGGUACCAGAAAUGAAGAAAAUGACCCUACAGGACCCACAGCCCUGGACGCUGUGGCUUCCUUGGACAACACAGGCCCCAGACAUUAUGCUGAAGAAGCAGAAGGCUUAGCAAAUCCUGCUCCAAGCCGAAAUACCUGUCACUCCAAAUAAUUUGUUCCAUUUUUAUUCUCUCACUCUGCCUACAACUGGUACCUGCUACACUCUAUUGGGCUCAUCUCUUAAAUCCAUCUUUCUUCUGCCCUGUUACUUAGACAAACACCCACUUCCCAGCUUCUAACAACGUGACGGCUUGGCUAAAAGGGAUUAAUAUACCUUCAGUGGGGUUCCGUAGCAAUGGCACACAUCAGACUAAGGUACCAGGUCACUCCUUGAUUGGAAAAUAAUGUUGCUAAUAAUACUCAUGUUUGUCUUAUGUUAUUUACUAAUUCUAGGAUGAAAAGCCAGAAUACAAGCAGUGACCACCACACCUGACAGACCUCUUGCUGCACAUAUCUGUACUCUCCAAUUAACAAAACCUGAUGCUAAAAACAGAAAAGAGGGGAGAUGUAGGAGAUUGGUCAGGGUGGUGGGAAAAAUUGUAGAAAGAUGAAACCUUGGAAGGCUGGAAGGUUUUACAAAAGCUUCAGAAUAGGAUUUGGCUGAAGGCAGCCAGAUUCUCUUAUCCUGUGCCUUAAAGCUUAAGUUAGAUAACAAGGGGAUAUAAAGAAACUGAUCUAGGUAAGUUAGUUUACUUAGGCCUUGGAACCUGGCCUUUAAUCAUCUGCAGGACUGCUCUCCAGGGAGGGCGACUAUGUUAAUUAUCCACAAGUGUGUUAACUCAAAGCCUUUGUUAUUAAAUUUAUACUGAAUAAAUGCCUGCAGUGCCAGCAUGUCAGGGCCAUGGCUGCUGACUCUUUAUGGCACCCUCCUCAGUGUAUGUAAGCUGCCUGGUCUGUUAGCUCGCUGUUUCACUGGAUAUCUGUGUCUGAGUGCAUUUCUUCAUCUGUCACUCGGUCAGUGUCUGUGGGUUGGACCAGGUAGGAACUGAAAACCAAACACCACAUGUUCUCACUCAUAAGUGGGAGUUGAACAAGGAGAACACAU